rnacentral:rRNA from 1 species
UGGGGAAUAUUGGACAAUGGGCGAAAGCCUGAUCCAGCCAUGCCGCGUGUGUGAAGAAGGUCUUCGGAUUGUAAAGCACUUUAAGUUGGGAGGAAGGGCAUUAACCUAAUACGUUAGUGUUUUGACGUUACCGACAGAAUAAGCACCGGCUAACUCUGUGCCAGCAGCCGCGGUAAUACAGAGGGUGCAAGCGUUAAUCGGAAUUACUGGGCGUAAAGCGCGCGUAGUUGGUUCGUUAAGUUGGAUGUGAAAUCCCCGGGCUCAACCUGGGAACUGCAUUCAAAACUGACUGACUAGAGUAUGGUAGAGGGUGGUGGAAUUUCCUGUGUAGCGGUGAAAUGCGUAGAUAUAGGAAGGAACACCAGUGGCGAAGGCGACCACCUGGACUAAUACUGACACUGAGGUGCGAAAGCGUGGGGAGCAAACA